rnacentral:misc_RNA from 1 species
GAGAGAGAGAGAGAGAGAAUAAUUGACAAUCUUUUCAACUGCUGUUGAAGUUAAUGAAUUUGCACUGUGUGGUAUCGCAAAACUGUAUCUGCCACGGAGUUUUUUUUUCAAUUAUAUAAUAUGUGACUGCUACUAUUGUCAAGCAACUAAACAAUCUUAAGUCCUGAUUUAAGAACAUUAUCAUUUUAUUAUUACAAACCUGAAGAGGAGUUCCAGUCAAAAGGACACGAUGUCUACUAGCGUACUGCUUCAAUGAAGAAAACAGCUUUGAGUCCUUGUUUUUGAGACGGUGACCUUCAUCAACAAUCAUGCACUCCCACUUGAUAGGCUUCAAAG